rnacentral:rRNA from 1 species
GCUUUCGUGCCUCAGUGUCAGUGUUGGUCCAGGUAGCUGCCUUCGCCAUGGAUGUUCCUCCCGAUCUCUACGCAUUUCACUGCUACACCGGGAAUUCCGCUACCCUCUACCACACUCUAGUUGUCCAGUUUCCACUGCAGUUCCCAGGUUGAGCCCAGGGCUUUCACAACAGACUUAAACAACCACCUACGCACGCUUUACGCCCAGUAAUUCCGAGUAACGCUUGCACCCUUCGUAUUACCGCGGCUGCUGGCACGAAGUUAGCCGGUGCUUAUUCUUUGGGUACCGUCAUCCCAACCAGGUAUUAGCCGGCUGGAUUUCUUUCCCAACAAAAGGGCUUUACAACCCGAAGGCCUUCUUCACCCACGCGGUAUGGCUGGAUCAGGCUUGCGCCCAUUGUCCAAUAUUCCCCACUGCUGCCUCCCGUAGGAGUCUGGACCGUGUCUCAGUUCCAGUGUGGCUGAUCAUCCUCUCAGACCAGCUACGGAUCGUCGCCUUGGUGGGCCUUUACCCCGCCAACUAGCUAAUCCGACAUCGGCUCAUUCAAUCGCGCAAGGCCCGAAGGUCCCCUGCUUUCACCCGUAGGUCGUAUGCGGUAUUAGCGUAAGUUUCCCUACGUUAUCCCCCACGAAAAAGUAGAUUCCGAUGUAUUCCUCACCCGUCCGCCACUCGCCACCCAUAAGAGCAAGCUCUUACUGUGCUGCCGUUCGACUUGCAUGUGUUAGGCCUACCGCCAGCGUUCACU